rnacentral:rRNA from 1 species
CCGACCGGCGCACGGGUGAGUAACGCGUAUGCAACUUACCUAUCAGAGGGGGAUAACCCGGCGAAAGUCGGACUAAUACCGCAUGAAGCAAGGGCCCCGCAUGGGGAUAUUUGCUAAAGAUUCAUCGCUGAUAGAUAGGCAUGCGUUCCAUUAGGCAGUUGGCGGGGUAACGGCCCACCAAACCGACGAUGGAUAGGGGUUCUGAGAGGAAGGUCCCCCACAUUGGUACUGAGACACGGACCAA